CCUACGGGAGGCAGCAGUGAGGAAUAUUGCUCAAUGGGCGAGACUCUGAUGCAGCAACGCCGCGUGAAUGAUGACUGCCUUCUGGGUUUUAAACUUUUUUUUUAGGGAAGUUAAUGGCGGUACCUGUGCCUUUUUCCACGUCUAACUUCGUUCCAGCAGCCGCAGUAAUGCGUAGGUAGCCGGCGUUAUCCGGAUUGACUGGGCGUAAAGGGAGCGUAGUCGGUUUUUUAAGUGAGUUGUGAAAUUCUUGGGUUCAACCUGAGUACUGCAUUUGACACUGGAAGUCUAGAGUGCAGGAGAGGUAAGCGGAAUGCGUGGUGUAGCGGUGAAAUGCGUAGAGAUUAGGAAGAACCCCAGUGGCGAAGGCGGUUCACUGGACUGUGACUGACGUUGAGGCUCGAAAGUGUGGGGAGCAAACAGGAUUAGAUACCCUUGUAGUC
rnacentral:rRNA from 1 species